rnacentral:rRNA from 1 species
AUUGAACGCUGGCGGCAGGCCUAACACAUGCAAGUCGAGCGGAUGAAGGGAGCUUGCUCCUGGAUUCAGCGGCGGACGGGUGAGUAAUGCCUAGGAAUCUGCCUGGUAGUGGGGGAUAACGUCCGGAAACGGGCGCUAAUACCGCAUACGUCCUGAGGGAGAAAGUGGGGGAUCUUCGGACCUCACGCUAUCAGAUGAGCCUAGGUCGGAUUAGCUAGUUGGUGGGGUAAAGGCCUACCAAGGCGACGAUCCGUAACUGGUCUGAGAGGAUGAUCAGUCACACUGGAACUGAGACACGGUCCAGACUCCUACGGGAGGCAGCAGUGGGGAAUAUUGGACAAUGGGCGAAAGCCUGAUCGAGCCAUGCCGCGUGUGUGAAGAAGGUCUUCGGAUUGUAAAGCACUUUAAGUUGGGAGGAAGGGCAGUAAGUUAAUACCUUGCUGUUUUGACGGUACCAACAGAAUAAGCACCGGCUAACUUCGUG